rnacentral:tRNA from 1 species
GUAGGUAUAGUUUAAUAAAAACAUUAGAUUGUGAUUCUAAAAAUAAGAGUUAAAACCUCCUUAUCCACC